ACUGCGCUGCCGCUGACGGCGCGUGACCUCACGUAGGCACCCGUAGUUCUGAGGGUGGCCUGCCGGGAAAUGUAGUCCGGGCCGGGAGCCCGCGCGGGUCAAAAAGCAUUUCAAACUAAUCAGUUCGCGCACUCUCACCCGGGCUGAAAUGCAAGCGGCUGCUGUACAUUGUAGGUGCGUCCCCGUCGCGAGAGCAUCCAGCGGGACGCUCUCGAAAAGGAAACAUCCAAGGAACACCGACAUGUGAAGGUUUAAUAUCCAAGCUGUUCCCAGAAAGAAGACUCGACAGCUCGGUGUCCUUAUUUGAAAAGUAGGAAUAGCGAAGGCCUGUCUGCCAACAGCUCACAAAAUACAGAACACAUAAGUGUAUAGUGUAUCUUCUCUCAAAAACAUCCAACAUGGCCACUUCUUCCUCCAGCAUCGGAGUGGAUUACUGGUCUUCUGGGUGAGCACUAGAUGAAGUAGUUGGCUUGUGUUUACAUGCUAUAUUGUACGAAAAAAGAGAAAGAGGUUUUCUAAGCAUAAAAGUAUAGUUGAAAGUGUUCAAGUUAAAUGAGUGUAUCAUGAGAUUCAACUAUUGAAUUUU